CUAAAUCCCUUAACGAGGAACAAUUGGAGGGCAAGUCUGGUGCCAGCAGCCGCGGUAAUUCCAGCUCCAAUAGCGUAUAUUAAAGUUGUUGCCGUUAAAAAGCUCGUAGUUGAACCUUGGACUUGGCUGAUCUGUCCUCCUAAUCGAGCGCACGGAUUCGGUCGGGUCUUUCCUUCUGGGGAGCCCUAUGCCCUUCACUGGGUGUAGUGGGGAACCAGGACUUUUACCUUGAAAAAAUUAGAGUGUUCAAAGCAGGCCUUUGCUCGAAUACAUUAGCAUGGAAUAAUAGAAUAGGACAUCGGUUCUAUUUUGUUGGUUUCUAGGACCGCUGUAAUGAUUAAUAGGCAUAGUCGGGGGCGUUAGUAUUCAAUUGUCAGAGGUGAAAUUCUUGGAUUUAUUGAAGACUAACUACUGCGAAAGCAUUCGCCAAGGAUGUUUUCAUUAAUCAGUGAACGAAAGUUAGGGGAUCGAAGACGAUCAGAUACCGUCGUAGUCUUAACCAUAAACUAUGCCGACUAAGGAUCGGACGGUGGUUCUUUUAUGCCCCGUUCGGCACUUUACGAGAAAUCAAAGUUUUUGGGCUCGGGGGGGAGUAUGGUCGCAAGGCUGAAACUUAAAGAAUUUGACGGAAGGGCACCACCA
rnacentral:rRNA from 1 species